rnacentral:RNase_P_RNA from 1 species
GAAGCUGGCCAGACAGUCGCUGGCAAAUGUUUCAGCUGCCAGAGGAAAGUCCGGGCUCCAUAGAGCAGGGUGCUGGGUAACGCCCAGGCGCCGCAAGGCGACGAACAGGACCACAGAGACGAGUCGUGACGGGUGGUCGAUAAGACUGCGCGUUGCGGGUGAAACGAGGCAACCUCCACCCGGAGCAACAUCAAAUAGGCGGACGACGACGUGGCUCGCCGAGUCCGCGGGUAGAUGGCUCGAGCCUCGGGGUAACCCGGGGCCUAGAGGAAUGACUGUCCACGACAGAACCCGGCUUAUCGGCCAGCUUCACUU